rnacentral:rRNA from 1 species
UACGUAGGGUGCAAGCGUUAAUCGGAAUUACUGGGCGUAAAGCGUGCGCAGGCGGUUUUGUAAGUCUGAUGUGAAAUCCCCGGGCUCAACCUGGGAAUUGCAUUGGAGACUGCAAGGCUAGAAUCUGGCAGAGGGGGGUAGAAUUCCACGUGUAGCAGUGAAAUGCGUAGAGAUGUGGAGGAACACCGAUGGCGAAGGCAGCCCCCUGGGUCAAGAUUGACGCUCAUGCACGAAAGCGUGAGGAGCAAACAGG